rfam:Phalacrocorax carbo contig92768, whole genome shotgun sequence.
CAGAUAAUAGUUUAAUAUAGAAUGCUGGCUUUGGGAGUUGGAGGUGAAGGUUUGAGUCCUUUUUCUCUGA